rnacentral:rRNA from 1 species
AUUGAACGCUGGCGGCAUGCUUUACACAUGCAAGUCGAACGGUAACAGGUUAAGCUGACGAGUGGCGAACGGGUGAGUAAUGCACCGGAACGUGCCCGAUCGUGGGGGAUAACGCAGCGAAAGCUGCGCUAAUACCGCAUACGAUCUGAGGAUGAAAGCGGGGGACCGUAAGGCCUCGCGCGAUCGGAGCGGCCGAUGUCAGAUUAGGUAGUUGGUGGGAUAAAGGCUCACCAAGCCGACGAUCUGUAGCUGGUCUGAGAGGACGACCAGCCACACUGGGACUGAGACACGGCCCAGACUCCUACGGGAGGCAGCAGUGGGGAAUUUUGGACAAUGGGCGCAAGCCUGAUCCAGCAAUGCCGCGUGCAGGAAGAAGGCCUUCGGGUUGUAAACUGCUUUUGUACGGAGCGAAAAGGCUCUCUCUAAUACAGGGGGCUCAUGACGGUACCGUAAGAAUAAGCACCGGCUAACUACGUGCCAGCCGCCGCUGUAA